GCGGGGUGCUAUACAUGCAGUCGUACGCUUCUUUUUCCACCGGAGCUUGCUCCACCGGAAAAAGAGGAGUGGCGAACGGGUGAGUAACACGUGGGUAACCUGCCCAUCAGAAGGGGAUAACACUUGGAAACAGGUGCUAAUACCGUAUAACAAUCGAAACCGCAUGGUUUUGAUUUGAAAGGCGCUUUCGGGUGUCGCUGAUGGAUGGACCCGCGGUGCAUUAGCUAGUUGGUGAGGUAACGGCUCACCAAGGCCACGAUGCAUAGCCGACCUGAGAGGGUGAUCGGCCACAUUGGGACUGAGACACGGCCCAAACUCCUACGGGAGGCAGCAGUAGGGAAUCUUCGGCAAUGGACGAAAGUCUGACCGAGCAACGCCGCGUGAGUGAAGAAGGUUUUCGGAUCGUAAAACUCUGUUGUUAGAGAAGAACAAGGAUGAGAGUAACUGUUCAUCCCUUGACGGUAUCUAACCAGAAAGCCACGGCUAACUACGUGCCAGCAGCCGCGGUAAUACGUAGGUGGCAAGCGUUGUCCGGAUUUAUUGGGCGUAAAGCGAGCGCAGGCGGUUUCUUAAGUCUGAUGUGAAAGCCCCCGGCUCAACCGGGGAGGGUCAUUGGAAACUGGGAGACUUGAGUGCAGAAGAGGAGAGUGGAAUUCCAUGUGUAGCGGUGAAAUGCGUAGAUAUAUGGAGGAACACCAGUGGCGAAGGCGGCUCUCUGGUCUGUAACUGACGCUGAGGCUCGAAAGCGUGGGGAGCAAACAGGAUUAGAUACCCUGGUAGUCCACGCCGUAAACGAUGAGUGCUAAGUGUUGGAGGGUUUCCGCCCUUCAGUGCUGCAGCUAACGCAUUAAGCACUCCGCCUGGGGAGUACGACCGCAAGGUUGAAACUCAAAGGAAUUGACGGGGGGCCCGCACAAGCGGUGGAGCAUGUGGUUUAAUUCGAAGCAACGCGAAGAACCUUACCAGGUCUUGACAUCCUUUGACCACUCUAGAAGAUAGAGCUUCCCCUUCGGGGGCAAAGUGACCGGUGGUUGCAUGGUUUGUCGUCAGCUCGUGUCGUGAAGAUGUUGGGGUUAAGUCCCGCAACGAGGGCAACCCUUAAUUGUUAUUUGCCAUCCAUUCAGUUGGGCAACUUUGCCAGGACUGCCCGGUGACAAAACCGGAAGGAAGGGGUGGGG
rnacentral:rRNA from 1 species